UACGUAGGGGGCAAGCGUUGUCCGGAUUUAUUGGGCGUAAAGAGCGUGUAGGCGGCUAGAUAGGUCCGUUGUGAAAACUCGAGGCUCAACCUCGAGACGUCGAUGGAAACCAUCUGGCUAGAGUCCGGAAGAGGAGAGUGGAAUUCCUGGUGUAGCGGUGAAAUGCGCAGAUAUCAGGAAGAACACCCGUGGCGAAGGCGGCUCUCUGGUACGUGACUGAUGCUGAGACGCGAAAGCGUGGGGAGCAAACAGG
rnacentral:rRNA from 1 species